GGGGGUAUAGCUCAGCUGGGAGAGCAGCAGACUGAAGUAAACCAGACAAAAUCUAUCUGAAUUCUGAAGGUCCCGCGUUCGAUCCGCGGUACCCCCA